UCUAAACUCUCCAGCAACAAUGAUCUGUCAGAGCUGUUUAACAAGUGCAAAGACUACAUUGUUUUCUCUUUUCAAGGAAGCAGCUGGAGUGAGAAAGUCGAUGAUCUCUGCCAGGUAGUUUAUCUUAGUCCUGAGGUGAUCGAUAAUUGCAUGCAUCUUUAGCUUUUGCCAAGUCAUUCAGGCAAAGCUGAACCCUUGUGUUUAGCAUGUUACUUAAUGAAUUGAAUGAAGGGCAAUUUCAAAUGCUAUUCAAAAUGCAAUGGCAUUAUAUCGUUUCCUUAGGAUCUGUUUGCCAUAUGGAAGCAGCCCAUGUAGAGCACAUAUAUGAGCAUACAGCUCAUGCACAACAACCAAUUUGCACCAUUUUUCUGCUUUUCUUCUCUCAUUAUGCUAAUAAUUAGCAUUGCCAAGGUUUUCUUAUCCAAAAUUUAUUAUACAAAAGUAGUUUACAAUCUUUCUCUUCUGUAACUCUUUUCAUACUUAACAUAAAAA
rnacentral:misc_RNA from 1 species